rnacentral:rRNA from 1 species
UGCUAUCAGAGUGAGAUUAAGCCAUGCGAGUCAACGUAGCAAUACGUGGCAUACGGCUCAGUAACACGUAGUCAACAUAACCAAAGGACGUGGAUAAACUCGGGAAACUGAGGCUAAACCGCGAUAGAUCAAGAUAUCUGGAAUGGUUUUUGAUCAAAAUCUAUAUGGCCUUUGGAUUGGACUGCGUCCGAUCAGGCUGUUGGUGAGGUAAUGGCCCACCAAACCUAUAACCGGUACGGGCUCUGAGAGGAGGAGCCCGGAGAUGGGUACUGAGAUAAGGACCCAGGCCCUAUGGGGCGCAGCAGGCGCGAAACCUCUGCAAUAGGCGAAAGCUUGACAGGGUUACUCUGAGUGACUUUCGUUAAGAAAGUCUUUUGACACCUCUAAAAAUGGUGUAGAAUAAGGGGUGGGCAAGUCUGGUGUCAGCCGCCGCGGUAAUACCAGCACCCCGAGUGGUCGGGACGAUUAUUGGGCCUAAAGCAUCCGUAGCCGGCCUUACAAGUCCUCCGUUAAAUCCAGCUGCUUAACAGAUGGGCUGCGGAGGAUACUAUAAGACUAGGAGGCAGGAGAGGCAAGCGGUACUCAGUGGGUAGGGGUAAAAUCCGUUGAUCCAUUGAAGACCACCAGUGGCGAAGGCGGCUUGCCAGAAUGCGCUCGACGGUGAGGGAUGAAAGCUGGGGGAGCAAACCGGAUUAGAUACCCGGGUAGUCCCAGCUGUAAACGAUGCAGACUCGGUGAUGGACUAGCUUCAUGCUGGUCCAGUGCCGCAGGGAAGCCGUUAAGUCUGCCGCCUGGGUAGUACGGUCGCAAGACUGAAGCUAAAGGAAUUGGCGGGGGAGCACCACAAGGGGUGAAGCCUGCGGUUCAAUUGGAUC